rnacentral:rRNA from 1 species
UACGUAGGGACCAAGCGUUGUUCGGAUUUACUGGGCGUAAAGGGCGCGUAGGCGGCAAUUCAAGUCAUCUGUGAAAUCUCCGGGCUUAACUCGGAACGGUCAGAUGAUACUGCUUUGCUAGAGUGCGGAAGGGGCAAUCGGAAUUCUCGGUGUAGCGGUGAAAUGCGUAGAGAUGUGGAGGAACACCGGUGGCGAAGGCGGGACUCUGGGCCGAUACUGACGCUGAGGAGCGAAAGCGUGGGGAGCGAACAGG